GCCCACCAGCCGUUGGCCCUUUUCGACAAAAAGGGCUUUUGUCUUUGUUCUUGUGAGUCACACAGCUGUCGGAUCUUAGACCACUAACAUCUGGGCAGGUUUCGGCACCAAAACCGCUGGGUUCAAGAAUUAUUAUUGCCAAUCUAAAGUUUGGGGACUAUUGCUGAGACGGUUACAAUAACAACAAGUUGGAUAAAGUUAUGGGACAAGGACACCGUCAUUUCCCCGUGAUGUUUUGUGGACAACAUUUUUUAAUGUCUAUCUACACACCCUUUUUCUUUCUUCUUGAUCCAGUGUUUCUGUUGUUGCGUCGUGUGACUUGUCGAUGCAAGACAACGGAGGAAACGUGAACGAGGUGGAGACGGGGGAUGCUGGUGUUGACGGUUUUCAGAGUCGGAGUACAGGAAGUUGUUUUUCUGGCGAGAACAUUCUCAGAAAAUCCGCUUCCGUACACUUUGAAUUUCGGGACUUGUGUGUUGUUUGCUGUCUAAUCUAUCACCCUCCAAUGUUGUAGUAUACAGCACAUAUAUACAUAGCUGGACAUAUUCAAAGCUUUAUAUUCUGUGCCCGUUAAUGGCAGAAUGUCUAUAAGUCACGAAUCCUUUCUUUCAUUACUGAGACAAUAUCACAAAUGAGCGUUGCUCUGGGUUUGUUUUAUGAUUGAAAGCCAGUGGGCACUGAACAAGAUGACGGCCACUCUGACCUUUUACUGCAGCGGGGUUUUGUUUCCAUCACUCGAUCAACGGUGGACUUCAUUUAUUUCUGUCCUUCCUCGGGGGUAAAUAAGACCCCGCUCUGCCAGAGAGGAGUCUGGGUAAUGAGGCUUGUGUCUUUAGAAUCUCUACAUCCAACAGUUCAUGGGUCAACCUGGGGGAUACGGGGGGAAUGGUGAUGGAACUGGAGGAAUCCUUUUAUAUUACAUAGAUGUGUGUGUGUGUGUGUGUGUGUGUGUGUGUGUGUGUGUGUGUGUGUGUGUGUGUGUGUGUGUGUGUGUGUGUGUGAGGAGGCGGACUCCUGUGAAGAAAUUCAAAUAUAAAAUUGGUUAUAAGGGCGGAGGCUCUGUGCCGAAGAAGCGUUCCUGCGGGUAGGAGGGGAAAGGUCAGGGACACGGGGGGGUUGGGUUAGGGAGCGCAUGCGGCGAGAGGGGGUUGGGGGGUGGUGGGGGGGGGUCAAUGAUGUGAAUUCCAUCGAUCGGCAGCUUCCUGACAAGUGUUCAGUGAUUUCCCGUCCCCGGCAGAAAUAUUGUGCUUGUUAAUCCAUUUGAGUCGGGGCAGCAAGGGGGGGCUCAGGCCAGGAGGCAGCGUGCAUGCGUGUUUGCGUGCGUGAGUUUGUGUGUGUGUGUGUGUGUGUGUGUGUAUGUCUGGGGGGGGGGGGGGUCAAUGCAAACAGGAUGCUAAUGAGCCGGCGCUAAUCAAUGUGUGCUUAAUCAGCUAUUCAGCUCUUAGUGGCCACGGGAAGAGGAGGGGAGCGGCGAGCGAGUGUUGGGAGGAGUUCAUGAGAAAGUGCAAGCUCAAACUCUGGUUCCCUCCCUUCCUUCAGAACAUUAGUUCACAGGGAUUCCUCGGUGACUGCAGGCUUACUCGCCUUCAGACAGCAGUUCUGGGCUUCCUGAAUGAGCGCCCGAUGCUCAAUGAUAUGCGGCCUGAAAGACGGCGGCGGCGUGUUUUGUGACUUUUGAACGUGUGCGUUUGGCUCGGGUUCCCCGGGACAAAUGGAGUGCAAGAGAGAUAAGAUGGGAUGUCAUUUUUGAGGUCCAAAAGGUAUUUCCCCCAUGGACCAUUAUUCUAAAAGACUCGUCUGUUAACACCUCAAACUGAAAGCAGGAUAAUUAGGACUGUUACAGUCUGACUUUUUGAUCUGUGGAGGUUUUAUCUGUAAAACGUUUCUUGAGCUGAAAAUAAAAGUGACGAUAUCUCAAUAUAAAGUCUACGGUCAGAGUGGGAAAACCCCCCAAAAGAUGUAAGGGGUACGUCCUAGUACUUCUCAUGCUAGGAUCUAGUAGUUCUUAAUAUAAAUCCAUCGUCUAGUUACGGAUGCUAAGUUAUGAUGUUUUUGUUUAUGGUGUUAUGCACUUAUUCAUCGAAAGAAAAGUCAUUGUGAGGAUCACUCAUUCACUCAUUCUCACAAACAGAUAUUAUUUUUCUUUCACGAGGAAUCAAUGGCGUAGUACAUAAUGCCCUGGUUCAUAAACUUUCAUUAUUUAAUCCGCUCCCACAGGACAUUUUCUCACUUUUCCCUUUUUUCCCCAGCGAGGUUGUGUUUUGAGUCGUGCAUUAAUCCUGUUCUUUACCCACUCACAAAAAGGCCACGACUCAAUCAGUCUCCCGUCCUGCACAACGGGCGCCUUUAAAAAAUGACUCCAUGCCCUGAGUUGACAGCCCAAAGAUGGGAAGAGAGGAAUUAAUCUCACAGAAAGAGCCAGAAACAAAAAUGGGAGGCGGGAGUGGAAGGAGGGCGGGGGGGUAAACAACCUGUGCGUUUGGCUCACAAAUUCGACACAAAUACCACAGCACAGGGUUCCGCACGCACACACGCACACCCACGGGUCCGGUGUGUGUGUGUGUGUGUGUGUGUGUGAAGUGGGGGGGGGGCAGGGAUCAAUACAUAUUACGCUCUAAUCUGUAUCGCCGUGGGCCGCCUUCGCAGGAAGGGUUUCUAUUUAUUUUUUGGGGGGAAGGGGGGGGAACUUAUGAAGCGUCUGCGAAGUUGAACUACCGGCCCGAGGGAAACGGGACCCCUGUGUACUCUGUAACAAGCCGGGGGGGUCAGUGCGAACCCCUUGUGGCCUCAGAGCCCCCAAACGGCUGUCGCUAGGGGCCACUUUCACCGGCUUGCGCCAAACAGGACGUGACCCGAGGGCAAGAAGGAGCGUGUCGGCGUGCGACAUCGAAACGCGGAGGCAGGUGUGACGCGGGAAGGGAUGCAGAUUGAGGGGAGGAGGGGGGAGGAAUGAAAAAGGAGAGAUGGCGUUUGUCUCUCUGAGGCCGUCCGUUGUGGAUCCCAACUGCCAGUUAACGUGUCACAUCGCGGCGCGUCUCGCACUCCUCAUUUAUACUUCAUCGCUGCUCUUGAUCAUUCCCCUCAUUCCUCCCGUGAGGCGGCGGCGUGUAAAUAGGGGAUGCCCGAUGGAUUUACUGUGCAGGAGUAUACGCAUUAACAUGCCCAACGGUUGUCACACACACACACACACACACCAAAUCCGUGACUGUAAUUUAAAUGGCUCAAGUCUGAUGUCGUGUCGUUUUGGCUUGUGUUGGGGAAUGUUUGAUGAGGCCGCAUCAUUACGACCCCCGUCUAUCGGCGCAUCUAUCCGGGUAAAUGAGAAAUGGCUCUCGUUUGAGCCGGAAAGCCGAGCUGUCAUUAGCCCGUCUUCAAAUACGCCCACGAGCUCUAAUGAUGCAAAAGCAUGCCGGGCUAUGCCUGAGCACGAGCUGUUUGAAGAGUGCGGAGGGAAGAAAAAAGAAAAGAAAUAAUGAAAUAAAAAGACUUGAAGAAAGAUGGAUGUAGCGGUGUGUGUGUGUGUGUGUGUGUGUGUGUGUCUUCAGGUGGAAGUAGUAUUUCACCGCUGAGAGACGGGGAAGGAUGAUGGGAUCUUUCCGUGGGGUGGUGGUACGCACGUCGACGUGUGUGUGUGUGUGUGUGUGUGUGUUUUAUUUUCAUUUUUAAGAGGAGUGGGCUUUUAACAUGCAGCUCAGAAUCUGUCUGUCUGUCAACCCCCCUCUUUGAUGUCCUGCCGCUUCUGUAGCCCUUUGCGGGGGCUUGCGUAUCAUUAAGCAAUUCCAAUGAGUCCCACGUAGAAAGAUGACUGGAUCCCAAAAGUGUUUCAUCAUCAAUAAAGAGGAGUCUGUCUCUCCUUCAACUCGGGGACUUCAAUCACUCCUGAUGCAUUUGUUUGUCCGUAAAUAACCUGCCUCCGAUUAGCAAAAUGAUAUUCUUUGGGCAUUGUUCUGUCCGACGUGCACCCGUCCACGUGCACACGCGUGGGAGUGAUACGCGGCUAAUAUGCGGCGAGCUAAUGUAUGCCCGGUCGCCGGUAAAGGAGAGCACGAGCAUCCCAGAGUGCACCGCACGCUGAAUUUUGAACGAGGGGGGGGGGCAUUAAAUAUUCUUUUUGAUUGCACAUCCAGCUGCAUAUUCUCGGGGAGUGGUUUCGCUUUUAACCGAAUGUGCUGUACACAAGCACUUUGCAGUUUAACAAAUAUCUUUCCCCUGGCAAUGUCUCAGCCCAACGGCGGUUUAGUGCUUAAUCCUUCCCCAACAUGCUCAACGACUGGCUCCACCCAUGGGUGGGCGGGAGGCCGCCGCGUUCACAAAGGGAAUUAUGGGCAUUAUUAAGCUGUUUACAGUAGAAAAAGGCCUCUUGUAUCAUAAACAAACGUAUGGUUUCGGCCCCUUUAAGCCCUCUGCGGGCUAUAACUUAGCACGUAAUGAUGAAAGCGACCUUGCUGCGGAGAGUUGGGUGGGCAGGUUUUACAAAUGUUGCCGGGAACACUUGGGGGAAUACUAAUGUCAGUUGAGGGGAAAAUCUUAAAGCAGUCCUCACCCGACGCCUGCCCCAGAAUCAAGGGUCCUUCUGAAAAGGCCCGUCUUCUCAUCUCUGGCUGUGUUCUGAAAGCUCAUUAGAACCAGAUAUCAAAGAGCGGGGCGGCAGUGAACUGGACACCGCGGGGCUGUUUUUCUCGCGCUCACAUGCGUGCGUUUUGGCUCUCUCUGGAGGUGAUCUGCAUUUGGAUCGAGCGCCACAACUUUCCUUUGUAAUCGGGCCAUUUUGGUGACAUCCGUCAGCAGCCGUGCAACACAAGUUCUACGGACCGAAGGCCUGUUUUUCAACUAAUGCUGGCCUGAGCAUGAAAGGCCUGUUCACGAGUGUGUGUGAAACAAAUAAUAAAAUGCAGAGGCUGUGGUGAUUUAGUUACAAGUGUGAUGCAUUUAAAAGGAUCCAGAUGUUAAUCAAACGUUGAAAAAGCUUCAGGAUUAUUCUUUGAUUUAGAAUAUUGUGCUUUUAUUUUGUUGCUUCUUUGUCUGCAUUUGUUCGAGGCCACUGGUUCACUGGAGGAAAGUCACUAAGACAGAAAAUCAGUAAAAAUGUGAAAAAAUGUAUUCGGGUCUGUUCUGAUAAGAUGAACAUUAUAUUUCUAAUGAGAAUUCAAGAAAGGUGUUUCUGUUAUUGAGCUUACCCUCAUUGAUAUAAAUGUGUAUAUGAAAUAAUAAAAACAAACUGCAGCCUCCAACACGAUCACACAGUUGAAUCAGCACUCCUCUAAAACACCUUCAAUAUUGUAGAUUUAAUUAGUUUCAGCUCAGGGUACCUAAUAAUCAGACGAUUAUACGCGUGUACAUACAUACAUAGUGAACUACGCUCCACCGGUUUCUUCAUUUUCCGUGUUUAUCCAAGACAAGUUAACACAACUCACAGGCCCUUAAACACAAUUUGAUGCGUAGAACAAUGCAGGUGCACGUCUGCGUGUCCUGUCUGCAGUUUCACGGAUGCCAACUCCCUCAACGUCGCGCUUCCCGCCUCAACCUCCCCC
ensembl:lncRNA